CUUCUCCUCUACCUGCAGAUACACUGGCCCAUCUAGUCCAGUAUUCUGUUCACUUUAUGGCCAAUCACUGACCUACAGGAAACCCGUAAGCCGGAGUCUCCUUUUCACAGCAGCUGUGCACCUGAUCAACAUUUUCAGAGAGCUGUCCAAAAUGCUCUUGUAGCACUCUACAGAAUGGGAUCGGUCUGUGUUUCUGUUAAAAAAAUAAAAAGUUCUCACCACCCUUCUGAAUGAUGCUUCAUCUUUGAACAAAUAUACCAUGUGGGGCAGACAGCACUACCAUUCCAGGCUUUGCUGAACAGGUGGUCAGCUCAUUUCUUCGGGAAUAAGAUCCACUGAGCACAUGCGGACAUUCUUCUGAGUAAACAUGCCCAGGUUAUGCUGCACGUCUAUUAGCUCUGAACAAACCGCUUCAUACCAACCAACACAAGCAUGCCUUGAAACAAAAGAAAGUGCAAACUUCUAAGGAUUGCCUUAAAGUUCAUUAGCUGUUACAAGAAAAAUCCCUAAGUGGUUUAGCGAAGCUGCAAAGCUGCAAAGGUGAGCCAUCUUUAGGACUUCUGCUGAACCUGUCUUUGAAGUAGCAACAACUCUGACAAAUGCAAUUGCUUACAAAUGUGGAAAUUAUGAGUGCAGGGAACUUGCAGGGAGAUGAAAUAUGGCAUUGCUCAUGGUAGAAGCUGUGGCAAUGAAUGAGAAUAUAGCCAGACUUUGUGGGUAGAUACAGAGGGAAAAAUAAUGUGCAAAUUUUCAGACAUAUAU
rnacentral:lncRNA from 1 species